rnacentral:misc_RNA from 1 species
UCACCCCUCAAGCCCCCGGGCUUGGUGUUGGACGGUUUGGUCGAGGCCCCCUCGAUCCCUCCCAAAGACAAUGACGGCGGCCUGGUUGGACCCCCGGUACAUGGAGCUUCUUAACUGAGCACGUAUCGAUGUGGUCCCCGGGACCCGGUCUUCCUUCUCCCUCGCGGGAGGAGAAACCCCCUUUCUUCUAA